GCUUAACACAUGCAAGUCGAGGGGCAUCAGGAAGAAAGCUUGCUUUCUUUGCUGGCGACCGGCGCACGGGUGAGUAACACGUAUCCAACCUGCCCUUUACUCGGGGAUAGCCUUUCGAAAGAAAGAUUAAUACCCGAUGGCAUAAUGAUUCCGCAUGGUUUCAUUAUUAAAGGAUUCCGGUAAAGGAUGGGGAUGCGUUCCAUUAGGUUGUUGGUGAGGUAACGGCUCACCAAGCCUUCGAUGGAUAGGGGUUCUGAGAGGAAGGUCCCCCACAUUGGAACUGAGACACGGUCCAAACUCCUACGGGAGGCAGCAGUGAGGAAUAUUGGUCAAUGGGCGCUAGCCUGAACCAGCCAAGUAGCGUGAAGGAUGAAGGCUCUAUGGGUCGUAAACUUCUUUUAUAUAAGAAUAAAGUGCAGUAUGUAUACUGUUUUGUAUGUAUUAUAUGAAUAAGGAUCGGCUAACUCCGUGCCAGCAGCCGCGGUAAUACGGAGGAUCCGAGCGUUAUCCGGAUUUAUUGGGUUUAAAGGGAGCGUAGGUGGACUGGUAAGUCAGUUGUGAAAGUUUGCGGCUCAACCGUAAAAUUGCAGUUGAUACUGUCAGUCUUGAGUACAGUAGAGGUGGGCGGAAUUCGUGGUGUAGCGGUGAAAUGCUUAGAUAUCACGAAGAACUCCGAUUGCGAAGGCAGCUCACUGGACUGCAACUGACACUGAUGCUCGAAAGUGUGGGUAUCAAACAGGAUUAGAUACCCUGGUAGUCCACACAGUAAACGAUGAAUACUCGCUGUUUGCGAUAUACAGUAAGCGGCCAAGCGAAAGCAUUAAGUAUUCCACCUGGGGAGUACGCCGGCAACGGUGAAACUCAAAGGAAUUGACGGGGGCCCGCACAAGCGGAGGAACAUGUGGUUUAAUUCGAUGAUACGCGAGGAACCUUACCCGGGCUUAAAUUGCAGUGGAAUGAUGUGGAAACAUGUCAGUGAGCAAUCACCGCUGUGAAGGUGCUGCAUGGUUGUCGUCAGCUCGUGCCGUGAGGUGUCGGCUUAAGUGCCAUAACGAGCGCAACCCUUAUCUUCAGUUACUAACAGGUCAUGCUGAGGACUCUGGAGAGACUGCCGUCGUAAGAUGUGAGGAAGGUGGGGAUGACGUCAAAUCAGCACGGCCCUUACGUCCGGGGCUACACACGUGUUACAAUGGGGGGUACAGAAGGCAGCUAGCGGGUGACCGUAUGCUAAUCCCAAAAGCCUCUCUCAGUUCGGAUCGAAGUCUGCAACCCGACUUCGUGAAGCUGGAUUCGCUAGUAAUCGCGCAUCAGCCACGGCGCGGUGAAUACGUUCCCGGGCCUUGUACACACCGCCCGUCAAGCCAUGGGAGCCGGGGGUACCUGAAGUACCUUCUAAGGGGGAUCGUCCUAGGGUAAAACUGGUGACUGGGGC
rnacentral:rRNA from 1 species